AUUCCUGUAGCGCAGUCAGUAGAGCAUUGCGCUAACAAUGCAAGGGUUGCUAGUUCAACCCCCAGGGAGA